AGAAUAACUAGAAAAGGGCGACCAUUAGGUCGCCCUUAUAUUUAGCAAUCGAUAUUACGCUUUUGGUUUGGCCGCCGAUCAGUAAUAUCUCGCUUUCAUUGGCGUUACGCAUAGCUGGCUGUUAGCUUAGUUCCUUACGCUUUAAUCACUAACAGUUUCUUGUAACCAUAACCUGAGUUCAGACUCAGGUUUUUUUAU
rnacentral:sRNA from 1 species